rnacentral:lncRNA from 1 species
UUUUGCUGGAGAUCCCUGUGUACCUGAGGCCUUUUGAAGGUGAGAAGAGUUCAGCAGGUGCUGAGUAUGAGACUUUUGCAGUGUGUGGAGGAGAGAGAUGGGCACCCCGUGGCUCUUUGCUGCAACCACCAAGCCUCCAAGGGUCAAAAGGUGAAAAUGAUUGAGGUACCUUUUGCUAUGAAUAUUUCACGAGCCGCAUAUCCCUUUUUCACUGAGAUCUAUGUGCUGACUGAGGGCUUCUUCGGGAUGAGUCCUUAGUUGACUGAUGAAUACAAAACACUUCUCGAACAAAAGGCAUUCAAGAUUAGCGGAAGACAAGACAGCCUACUUUAGUUUCUGUGAGCAGUACCUGGAGUAUCAAUGGAGAUAAAACACUGAGUGACAGGUAACUGAAAUACUGAAUAACACAAUAUAUUGUUCUCCUAUUGAUUGGGGAAAUAAUGAGAAAGUUAGCAAGUCACGGUAAUGUCACAGACAGCGAUGAACUUCGGAAAACUCAAGGACCAGAAAGUAACAUGAAACAAGGAGCAAAAUGAAGAUAAUAUUUGGUUACAGUACAGUUCUCAAAUGGUAGUGAAACACAUCCCAUCGCCUUUGAGUAUGCACGGUUUUUAAAAUGAAGACAAAGGGAAGAAAUUGCUGGCUGAAACAAUAUAGCUAUUUUAUUUUACUACAGACAGUAAUGUGAACUUCUUGGAAGACAUCUUCUUUCACCACACUAUUGCAGACGGGCACAUUUAGGAGCUAUGAACCAAAAUUAUCCUCUCUCUGCAUAACCUUUCUAGUGUCAUAUCCCGCAAGGCCCUCUGGUAAUUGAACAUAUUCAGUACCAAGAAUCAGCUAUUGUUUCACUGUGGUGUGGAGGUUUCAAAGACAAUCCCUUUGAAGAGGCUACUCAUUCAAAAGAGAAGCAGCACCUUUGCAAAACACAUCUAGAGAAAGCCUUUUUUUUUCUCUUCUCACACUGACUCAACUCUUGGGAAAGUUUAGCUUGCCCAUCUCCAUAACUGAGGGAUGCUCCCUGCUUUCCUGUAGCGCUGCACGAGACCCCAUCCUCCUGACACCUGCUGCCUUGCCUCUGUGCCAAGUCAAAGUUAGACCAGUGAAAAUAACCAUGCUGGCCUCCCAGUGCUUCCCAGAAUUUCUGCAUUCAGAUAAUUUUACAAGCUUCUCCAUGCCACUGUCCUUCUGUCACUUGAAUAGAACAGAGCUCAUGUUGGCCACAAAUAUUUCCUCCGAAGACAAGCAAAAUCCCACACAAAGGAAGGAAACUCUCUUUUCCUCAUUUGAAAUGAGACAACUUAAUAUUAAAUGAAUACAAAAUUACAUUGUGCUGAUCAUCCACUUUUCCAUUUUUUUUUCUUAUUCUUCUUGAAGACUUGUCUACUUCCUGGGAAGGAGAUACUCUAAAAAUUUUCUGGUGGUCUUUAUUUGUAGGUACAAUCUCGAACUGCAUUGUCCUAGUGCAGGACUUAGUUCAAUAGCCUUACCAUCACAGCAGCAAAACACUUCAGAUGAAUUUUAGAUCUAGAGGAAUUCAGCAUCUACUUUUAAUGGGAUUUUAGCACCCACUAUUUCAGCACCUGUCUGUGAUUUCCUUCUGAAAAUUAAGCAAGGGAUGAGCAGGGAUAGGGCAGAAAGUGUUUGUCCAACUCCUGCCCACCUUAUCCUUGCAAGGUCUGGGAUCACAUGCCUGCCUGGGUCCUGCAGCUUGCAAAUGCUUUUUGGUCCAUUAGCUCAGAGAAAGCCUCAUCUCUCUUUGAAGAAGUCCAGAUCAAAACUGUGAAUUCCAUAUCCGAUUUGAUUCUCUUUUCUGAUAUGAAGAGGUCAAACGAAUUGUUAUGCUAACAUGAUAGUGGAACAUAGAAAUGUCAUGAUAGCUGGCCUGGUAAUGCAGAAUUAAUGUAGACAUUCAGAAUGCAAUCUUUGCAAAACUCUCCACCCUGCAGAUGUAAUAAACAUGUGGCAAGUAAGCUCCAUUAGGCCUACUCAGCAACCU